rnacentral:rRNA from 1 species
UACGAAGGGGGGCUAGCGUUGCUCGGAAUCACUGGGCGUAAAGCGCACGUAGGCGGCUUUUUAAGUCAGGGGUGAAAUCCCGGGGGCUCAACCCCGGAACUGCCUUUGAUACUGGCAUUCUCGAGUCCGGAAGAGGUGAGUGGAAUUCCGAGUGUAGAGGUGAAAAUUCGUAGAUAUUCGGAGGAACACCAGUGGCGAAGGCGGCUCACUGGUCCGGUACUGACGCUGAGGUGCGAAAGCGUGGGGAGCAAACAGG